rfam:Aneurinibacillus migulanus strain DSM 2895 super7, whole genome shotgun sequence.
GUAAUCCUUCGGGGCAGGGUGGAAUUCCCUACCGGCGGUGUUAGAGGCAGUGGCCUCUUCAGUCCGUGAGCUGCGGUUUACAUAACCAAUGCUGACCUGGUGUGAAUCCGGGACCGACAGUAUAGUCUGGAUGGGAGAAGGAUAUG